ensembl:snoRNA SNORD111B small nucleolar RNA, C/D box 111B
CAGCCUGAAGUGAUGAUUCACAUUCAUGUCUCUUCUCUGAUAAAUUCUUGAAGAAAAUUUUUGUGUGUCUGAUCAGGCCU